rnacentral:miRNA from 11 species
UCUCGGACCAGGCUUCAUUCC